rnacentral:lncRNA from 7 species
AACAGCCUCCAUCUUGAAGGGUGUGGGCUUUGAUUUGCCAUCUGUUUCUCUUUCUCAGUUAAUUUGGUUAUUAGGGAGGCUGUAGCAGAUGUUAAGCCUCUGAGAAGAGCAAUCUGAGGGGGCAAAGAGAUUUUUGUGAAGGAACCUGAGUGCCCUUACCUGUGUGGUGUGGUUCUGGGAAGGCAACGAGGUCAAACCCAGGCUUUGCAAAAGUCAGACCUUGCUUAACUGCAAAGAUGAGGCCCAAUGGUUGUGCAUUAAGUUGGGCUGCUGCUGUUGGAGGAAUGUGGUCUGUGGAUCCAGCAAUAUGCAGGCAGUGCAGAGCUCCUGCCUGGGGCUGGUGGCCAUUCGCACAUGGGACGUCUUGAUUUGGUGUCAGGGGACCUGCAGCUGACUGAUGCUCUCAAGGUCUGAGUUUGGUGAUCAGUGUGAUCCUGAGCAUGAGAAGAACAGACCCCCAGCUACUACUAUCUGAGAUUUCUCCAUUGCCCCUGAAAAUUUGGAUGACCUUUUCAGAAUCUCAACCUUCGCAUUGCAAAAUUGUUGGUGUACAUCAGGAGAAAAAAAAAAAAAAAGGUGGAAUAAAGCAAGACCAAAUCAUAUCAUGAAGAUGUGAGAAUUGUUCUCAGUAUUGAAAGUGCCUGUCCAAAGUUUAGUAGCUUUCAGUGCUGGGAAACUCCAUCUUACUUCAGAGCUGAGUUUCGGUGGCUUCUAUUUUUGUAUCUUGUCAAGUUGGCAGCAAGGUCAAGUACUUCAUGAUAACCAGUGUUCUCCUUGCAUACAGGUGCCACUGCUCAGAAAUAAGUCCUUGUUCAUCCUCUUUGUCAAACUGCAGAAUUUGAUGUGGGGUGUACAAAGCUUGUUUCUAGUAGCUAGUUUAUUUUUAACUCUGAUUUUGCUUCAGUAUUGCUGUCUCCUUUCUGAAAGUAGAGUUGGACCCAGAUAGUGAUCCUAGCAACUUUUUUUCGUAGAUGACAUAAUUUCCUGCCUAUUUGGAUUUUUUUUUCUAGCUCUGGACUCCAGAGACUUUUGGCAUCUUUAUGCUAUAGCAUUCAACGUAGGUGGAGAUUAAACUCUAAAUCCUUCUAGUUCAACUGUUUUGAGACAGUUUUACAUUCUAUAAAAAUAGUUGUUCCUUGACUUCUGUUGUAUGUAGCUUCAUCGCAUUAAAUAGAGAGUAACAGGCUGCUCUAAGUAAGCAUCUUGUCCUCUUCCAUCACUUUCUGCCAUAAUAAUUAUUUGCGUUGUCUAUAGAUUUUAUUAACACAAUUUUUUGUAGUAUGUGAAGAUUUAAUAAUAAAGUUAAUCAUACUGUAAUUCAGUUGCAAGUUGGGUCAAAACAAAGCAACACCUGGCUCAUGCAUCGUUACUGACGGAUGCUUAGGAAAAGACUUAGAAGCAGAACUCUGUGCCUUUCUGAUUUCCACAGUCAGCAGUUAAGACAUUCAAAGCCAAUGCUUAGUAGAACUCCGAGAUUUAAGUUUCUUUAAACCCGUAUGUACUUUUGUUCUCAGCAACUUUUGUGAAAAUUAGUUCCAUCAUUUAAUUUGGACCGAGGAGGAAAAUACUUUUUUCUAAUAGGUCCCACAAAUUGUACUACGAAAAAUAGUGAGUAAUCAUUCUGUACUUACCUUCUCUAUUCUGGAUUUUGCAGGGCAGGUAUCAUGUCCCCUCUUUCUUUUUGUCAGGUAUUCUUUACUUAAAAACAGGGAAAGUUAUAACCUGUCCAUCUAUUUUGAAUUAGAAUGACCAGAACUACUAUGGAUUUAUGCAUGGCAUGGGGUAUUUUCUGGGUCUUCAUUCUCUGCUCAUAUUCCUGUAUCCUAUUUUCCCUUUUGUGGAACAUAAAAUUGAUGCUUUAUGGCAAAU